ensembl:lncRNA
CCGGUACAGAGUCAAUGUGGAGGCUAUAUACAGGGUGUUACAGUACAGAGUCAAUGUGGAGGUUAUAUACAGGGGUACCGGUACAGAGUCAAUGUGGAGGCUAUAUACAGGGUGUUAUGGUACAGAGUCAAUGUGGAGGCUAUAUACAGGGGUACCGGUACAGAGUCAAUGUGGAGGCUAUAUACAGGGUGUACCGGUACAGAGUCAAUGUGGAGGCUAUAUACAGGGGGUACCGGUACAGAGUCAAUGUGGAGACUAUAUACAGGGUGUUACGGUACAGAGUCAAUGUGGAGGCUAUAUACAGGGUAUUACGGUACAGAGUCA